rnacentral:lncRNA from 1 species
AAAAUGAAAGUCACAUAUUAUAAUUCAAGGACCAAUUUUCAUUAUAAACUUUCAAAGUUUCAUUACAAAAAGAUUCAAAACCAAAUUCUAUACAAAAGUACACAUUUUUUAACUAGAGUUGACUUUGAUCAACGAUUGACUUUUUGGUCAAAAAUUGACCAAAGUCAAACUAACUACCCUAACCCCUAAAUCCACUUUGGUCUUCCCUUUCCAAGAUUUUCUUCAUUCAUGCCAUGAUUUCCAAAAGCCUUCAUGAUCCAUAUGGUUCCAUGCCAUUUUGGGUCCAUGUCUUUAAACCUUGCCACCACCAUGCUUAAGCCAUCUUCAAACCUUGCUAGCCCAUGCCAAAUCAUCUCAUAUGUGUAAUAGUCCUGCAACAAUGAUACAAACAUAACAUAAUCAUGACUCAUACCAUACAUAUGCACAUUAUCAUAACCAAAAUCAACCAUUCAAAAUCACAAAAUCAUAAGCCUCUGCAAACCAAAACUUAGCAUACUCAUUAUGCAAUCCAAACAAAAUUGAUACCUGCACAUAACUGUAUGACUAUUCAAGUAAUCAAACCAACAUACCUUAAAAUUUCCAUCUAAACUAAUUUACAACUGAUUUUAAACAAAUAUUACUAACCCAAUUAGUAUAAGCUUUCUAACAGUCCCAUAUUACUGACCAACCAAUGCAAAUUGCAAACAAAUCCCAUAACAAUCCCAUAACAAUCCCCUAACUAAUGCUAUAACAAUUUAGUACCAAUGCAAGAAGUCAACAACUAACAAUCCACCAUUUCAUAAAAAGUUCUAGUUUGAGCUAAUUUUCUCUAGCUUGACAAUGCUAAAAAACAUGUUAACAAUUUGACAGUUCAACUCAAAAAAGACUAAGCAUUAACAAUAACAGUUCAUGUUAUAACAAAGCAUUUCAUAAAUAAACUUCAUAGCAGUGUAAUUCUUAACUCAAUUACCCAAUCAUUAAACUAUUAAUUGUCAAAAUCAAACUAACAUAUCUCUAACUGAUUUACAUGUUUCAAAUUAACUCAUUUCAUCACAGUACUAACAUUAAACUAACCAAUUAACUAAUGUUCACCAACCUGUCAUACUAACUUAUUCAUACUAACUAACAACCAUGACAUGAUUCCAAUUCAUAAACAAUCCCAAUUCUCUAACUGCACUAACUGCUCACUAAUUCCAUUUCAAACUUCAACUAACACUCAUUUCAAACAUUAACAGGUUACUAACCUUUUUUUCAAACUAACUCAGUAACAUCACAAGUUAAAUAAUCCAAAAGUACGAUAACUCUUGGACUAACACUAGUCUAACACCAUACCAGUUCAUCAUGGAUUAAUAAUAAUGCAAAUUAACCUCAUGCCACCCAAUUAAAAUUUUUACUUAAGGAGUGUUAACAUCAAUGUCUAAUUAUACAUUUUCAAUGCAAUUAGCUAACUCAUAACAACAUUCACAUUUUUCUUAACAGUUUCUCACUAAUCUAAUUCAUGUCUAAUUCCAACUAACACUAACUUCACCAAUAAGUAACCUAGUUUGGGCCUAAGCCAACCAAGCCCAUGGAACUUGCUACGCAACACCCCCUUUCCACUUGAUACACCGCUUUCUGAGCUAAGGCCUCAACAAUUUUGGGCCUCCCUGACCAAGCCCAAUGCAUUCCUAUUAUCCAUACUCCCUUUUCAUUGAUGACAUUCUCUGCCUCUAGUUUCUCAGGUUAAUCACUUGCUCUUUUUUUUUUAUAAAUUUUCUACACUUUAUUGAAUUUUAAUACAUGCAAUAUUCAUGUUAACACUUAUUUCUACAUUUUAUUUUGAUAUGAAAUUCUUAGAAAAUUCAUGAUAAUAGACUUUAGGCCAUUAUGAAUGUUUUUGCGUCCAUUGUUUUUUUAGUCUUUUUGCUUCAUUAAAUGGAACACGUAUUUUUUACCAUUUUUUUUUUUAAUGUCAUUUAUUGUAUUUUACCUUAUUAUUUAUCACAACCUGACUCCAUUUAAAGUCUUUUUCUACGUUGCAUUCAAUUCACACACACAUGUGUUGACACGAAUUAUUUAUAUAAAUUUCUUUAGAGAUUUUUCGAGUUAAUCUCACAGAUUUUCAAACUCGUGAUUGUUUAUCAAAAACACCGGUAAACAGGAGGCUGCUGACAAAUUUUAUUAGAAGGGCAAUUCAUCAAACACAUUCUCAAUUCAUAGUUUUUAUGGACUGCUACAUAAUUCUGCAACUUUGGAGGCGCCUGUCUUAAAGGCUUUGAUGUUUGGAGGUACAAAAUUCCACCAAUAAUCAAGCUUUUUGAUUGGAAGUUAUUCCUCAAUAGAUUAUCAACUAGAGACCAACUUAAUAAAAGAGGAAUUUUAGUUAACAAUCAUGAUUUACCUUGUAUUUUGUGAUUCAAGGAAUGUUUGAAUCCCAAGUGUCUAGACAAAUAUGGAAGGGGUUAGAAAAUUGGAUUGAGAUUCCUAUUAUGGUGGAACAAUAUUGUUGGCAUUGCUUCAGGGUCAGUUUGUUUUAGCUUUAAAAAAAUGAAUUUUUUCUUUUUAUUUUUGAAAAUGAAUUUUACAAAAAUAUUUUUCAAAAUAUUAAAAGUUUUUUUAAAUUUAUUUUUUAUAAAUUAAAAGAUUGGAUUAUUCAUUGUAUAACAUAAAUAUACAUUAUUGAAGAUCAAAACAUAGUCAAAAUCACAAAUUUAAAAAAAAAAUUGUAUCUCAAAAAUGAUUUUUAAUAAAAGCUAUUUGAAAUAGCUUCAAAAUUAAGUGAUUUUUUGAAAUUUUGAUAUCGAAAAAAAGUUUCGAUAAAAUGAUAAAAUACCUAAAAUCACAUUUCAAGAAUAACUAUUCAAACAAAAUUUUCAUUUGAAACUUUUAUGAAAAGUUUCUUUGUAAAUUUUUUUUACACUAAAAUAUAUAACACUAUAAAAAUCAUUUUAAAAAAAAUUCAAAACAAACGGGCCCUUAAUCUCUUCAAGAAGAUUUCAAAUAGGGUGAAAGAAGGAAAUGAAGGGCUUAUUUGGUGGACAAAGUGCAAUUAUUUGACACCAAUACGAUAAUUAAGAAAGAAAAAGUGCAAUUAUUUGAAGCCAAUACGAUAAUUAAAUGACAGCUUAUUGAUUAUUUUACAAGGCCACUUAGGUACUGUAUUGUGUAGUAUGACUAAAAUAAAGAAUAAAAAAAUCAUGGUGGUGCAAUAUAUCCGGGCAUAACACAUUUGCAAUAGGAUUGAAACACACACUUCAUGAUCUUAGGUCUUCGACAACUAUCGGGACAAUGUGAAUCUUUAAAACACGUACGUUUCCAAGCUGUAAUGACAAAAGAUUUUUAAAAAGAUAAUGUAAUUCAAAUGGGAUGAAAUAUUAUAUAUAAAGUAAAGAGAAAAUUUUAAAACAAUAAGAUAAAUUACCUUCAAUGUUUGUUGAACUAAUAAAUAGGAACAAAACGAUAAUUAUUACUACAUUAAUAAAUUUGACAGUUUGAGCCAUAUUUCUCCUUUUUGCAUUUAUGAAACUCUUUUACUAUCACUUUAUAAUUUAUAAGGUUAUUUCUUCCCUUACAUAAACUAUAUAGUUUUUAGCUCUUAUGGAGUUGUAAAAGAAACUUUCUAAAAUGCCCUUUUAGUACAUCGAUGUAUUAAAU